rnacentral:lncRNA from 1 species
GCCUAUUGAGGUUUUUGAAUUUGCCCCACUGCCCACUCGGAGAUUUUACCCCCCUCAAACAGAAACACAAUUCCCCUUUGGCACCCUCUCUCACCAUAGAGAGAGGUAGCGGUAGAAUACGAAGAGGUGCCACAACCCCACUCUCUCUCACACACACACAGUGAGGAGGAAUUUCUCUGCCUUUUUACACCAUAGUUUCUGGUAAAUCUCUGAAAAAUCCUUUCUCUUUAACUUGUAUUUACAUACCCUUUGAACUGUAAUCCACAGAUAAAAACACUGAAACAAAAUAAAUCAAACAUCCUUUUUGUUGCUUUUAUUCUUAUGGGGGAGACUUUUUUUCUGGUAUUUUUUAAUUACUAGAUGAUGAUAUUAAUUAAUUAGAAUGAAAUUCAAAAUGUUUAGUACACUUGCAACCUAGUUUAACUUAAACUCCAAGCUUUAUCCCCCUCUUCAUUGCAAAAGCUAAUUUCUUUUUUACUUACUGUGUUAAUUAGAUCAUUGUGCUUGUGUGUGUCACCAGUUAUAUAUGAAUGCACUAUGAAUUCAAGCUUCUUUUUCGUCAACUUGACUAUACACAGUGUGUGUGUGUGUGUAUAAUGUUCUGUUGAGUGUAUUUGGUUUGAAUUCGACUCUUGAACACUUUUGAUUUUAAAAAAUACUUACAUAAUCAGGUCAUUAAAAAGCUAAUCACAAGUAAAUGUCGAUGAUAAGUACAUAGUUGUAACCUGAAAAAUAUUCUAGCUAACCUUUUUUUUUUGUAAGAUUGAUGUCCAAGCCAGCUUGCAUGCGCCUCGAUUGUUUCACCGCAUAUAUGUUGCCUCCCACCAGCACAAUUAUCAAAUAGCAC